GUUCGCCACAACGGAAGCGUUGAUUCUGUUAUGGAAACUGUACAGUAGGAAUCAUCCCUGUCUUCGCUGUUCUGCACAGAACUGUCGUUACUCCACCACAGCAGGCUCGAACCUCGUGAGCCUCUCGUUGGGGUGUCACCAGGAAGACAGUUCCAUGCAGAACGGUUCUGUGUGGGUGCGGCUCGCUUUUAGAAGGCCGAAUGGGCAGCAAGCAUUCUCAGGCUUGGGGCAUUCCUCUGCCAAUCUACGCUCUAGUCAUGCACCCACCGCCAUAACUAAACACAAACAAUCUAUAAACUUAUCCGCAUCAAUUAUUCUAGUGUCAUUUUUGAUGUCGAUGAUGUUUCGCGCUUCUGAAUCCGCUGUGAAAUACUUACGAUUUGAGUAUAAUCGUUGAGGAGUUAUCAUCUUUCCCCUGUUGAGCAUAACCGUUAAGGGGUACACCUGCAGUUUCAAGGGUUGUUUCUACCACAGGCGUUGAAACGGAGAGGAAAAGAGAGGUGAUUGCCACUGGAGAGAGAGUUUCUGCUGGUGUCACUGCGCCUUCUAUCAUCUUCUGCUGUACAAACGGAUGGCGCUGCUUCUGCUUUCUUGAAAGAGCAAGAGAUUGUUAUGUUUGCAGAGAUAGAGGAUAUUGGGAAGAGUUUAGAAUUAUUAUUGGCAGUCCAGACCAAAUUAGAGGAAAGUAUCACACCUCCUUCAAGACAAAAGCAGGAAUGCUCAGAAAAGGAUAAUUUCUACGGGAACUGUGAUCCUGUUAUCCGCAAUCUCCGAGAAGAGCUUCCAGUCUAAUUUUACAAAGACCUGAACUAUGACAUCUACAACUACAGAGAGGAUAUCACAUUUACUGAUCCCACUGAACAUAUUUUCGGGAAUAAAGAACUACAAGACGUUGCUCUGGGUACUUCGGUUCCAUGGCCGCAUCUUUUUCAAAGUCUUGUGGGUUGAAGAAGUUCGAGUGUGGCAACCCUCUAGCAAGGUUAUCAUGGUUCGAUGGAGAGUUCGUGGCGUUCCACGAGUUCCCUGAGAGUCUCAAGGUCAGUUCGAGGGCAUUUCUGAGUACAUGUUAGACAAGGAUGAGAAAAUCUACUCUCACAAAGUCAGUAAUAUUAUAUUGAACUCGUGCCCAAACUA